rnacentral:rRNA from 1 species
AGCGUAGACGGAGCAGCAAGUCUGAUGUGAAAGGCGGGGGCUCAACCCCCGGACUGCAUUGGAAACUGUUGAUCUUGAGUACCGGAGAGGUAAGCGGAAUUCCUAGUGUAGCGGUGAAAUGCGUAGAUAUUAGGAGGAACACCAGUGGCGAAGGCGGCUUACUGGACGGUAACUGACGUUGAGGCUCGAAAGCGUGGGGAGCAAACA